rnacentral:rRNA from 1 species
UGGGGAAUAUUGGACAAUGGGCGGAAGCCUGAUCCAGCCAUGCCGCGCGUGUGAAGAAGGCCUUUUGGUUGUAAAGCACUUUAAGCGAGGAGGAGGCUACUUGGAUUAAUACUCUAGGAUAGUGGACGUUACUCGCAGAAUAAGCACCGGCUAACUCUGUGCCAGCAGCCGCGGUAAUACAGAGGGUGCGAGCGUUAAUCGGAUUUACUGGGCGUAAAGCGUGCGUAGGCGGCUUCUUAAGUCGGAUGUGAAAUCCCUGAGCUUAACUUAGGAAUUGCAUUCGAUACUGGGAAGCUAGAGUAUGGGAGAGGAUGGUAGAAUUCCAGGUGUAGCGGUGAAAUGCGUAGAGAUCUGGAGGAAUACCGAUGGCGAAGGCAGCCAUCUGGCCUAAUACUGACGCUGAGGUACGAAAGCAUGGGGAGCAAACAGG